rnacentral:lncRNA from 1 species
CGCCGCGACGGACGAGGGCGUGAUGGCGACAGAGAAUGUGGUGUUGACCGAGGCGGCGAUGAGACCUCGCGAUGGAGGCGGCUGGCGGCGAUGAGGUCAAGGGGGCGUGAUGGAGGAGGAUCAGAGGCGGGCCGGGGCAAUGGAGGAGGAGGCGGUCCGGGUGCGGGUGAGGCGGUUAGGUGGCGGGACGAUGAUGGCUGGGGCGAUGGGCGAUGAGGACGAUGGCGGCCGGCGAGGGAGGUGGAUGGGUGGCGAUGGAACAGGUGGAAGGGCGCAGGAUCUUGGCGGCGGUGAAAAUUUCGCUAAGUGUCGUAACUGGCGUCGGGUGAGGGUAGAAGAGGCUACAGUGCCUUUUAUCCCCCCUUUUAUCCCGGUUCGUAAUUGAACCCGGAACUAAAGGCCCUUUUGUCCC